GUACCAGCAGCCGCGGUAAUACGAAGGGGGCUAGCGUUGUUCGGAAUUACUGGGCGUAAAGCGCACGUAGGCGGACAUUUAAGUCAGGGGUGAAAUCCCAGGGCUCAACCCUGGAACUGCCUUUGAUACUGGGUGUCUUGAGUACGAGAGAGGUGAGUGGAAUUCCGAGUGUAGAGGUGAAAUUCGUAGAUAUUCGGAAGAACACCAGUGGCGAAGGCGGCUCACUGGCUCGUAACUGACGCUGAGGUGCGAAAGCGUGGGAGCAAACAGGAUUAGAUACCCUGGUAGUCCACGCCGUAAACGAUGAAUGCCAGCCGUUGGUGACUUGUCAUUCAGUGGCGCAGCUAACGCUUUAAGCAUUCCGCCUGGGAGUACGGUCGCAAGA
rnacentral:rRNA from 1 species